GACGAACGCUGGCGGCGUGCCUAAUACAUGCAAGUAGAACGCUGAAGAGAGGAGCUUGCUCUUCUUGGAUGAGUUGCGAACGGGUGAGUAACGCGUAGGUAACCUGCCUGGUAGCGGGGGAUAACUAUUGGAAACGAUAGCUAAUACCGCAUGAUAUUAAUUAUUGCAUGAUAAUUGAUUGAAAGAUGCAAUUGCAUCACUACCAGAUGGACCUGCGUUGUAUUAGCAAGUUGGUGAGGUAACGGCUCACCAAGGCGACGAUACAUAGCCGACCUGGGAGGGUGAUCGGCCACACUGGGACUGAGACACGGCCCAGACUCCUACGGGAGGCAGCAGUAGGGAAUCUUCGGCAAUGGGGGGAACCCUGACCGAGCAACGCCGCGUGAGUGAAGAAGGUUUUCGGAUCGUAAAGCUCUGUUGUAAGAGAAGAACGGGUGUGAGAGUGGAAAGUUCACACUGUGACGGUAUCUUACCAGAAAGGGACGGCUAACUACGUGCCAGCCGCCGCCGUAA
rnacentral:rRNA from 1 species